rnacentral:lncRNA from 1 species
GCUCCAGGGCGGGCUUGGAAAUGGAGACAAACUCCUCCGAGCCGUUAAGGCUCAGCCGGACAGGGCUUAGGAGUCCCGAGCCCAGUCCUGUUCACCCCCAUUUUAUAGAAAGGGAAACUGAGGCCCAGACAGGGGAAAGUCACUUGCCGAGGUGUUUGCUGCAGACUGCGUUGACCGAACCUGCUUUUUCACAGCAGUCAGACAGCAAGCCCUCCCGUCCCUCCAGGACCCUAGUUCCUGGGGAGGAAGGCGUUCUCAGCGAUAAUGACCAGCAUUAAAGUGCUCCCCGUUACCGGCGUCACUGCCCCAGCCAGUGGAGGCCCCGGAGAGGGACUGAAGAUGUGUCACCUAACUUCUCUGAACCUUCCUCCCUCAAGGAGAACUGAUAAUCCCUAACUCACAGUUCUGUGAGGAUUGAAUGCCUUAAGCAUGCAGGUUAAGUGGCUACUGAAGGCAGUUUUUGUGGACAGAAACUGGUCCCAGCGUCAGAUCUGCGAUGCUGCCCAGGCAUGGUGGUGACCCUCUCUAAACAAGCACACUCAGAAUUUCCCUGGCUCGGCUGGGCGACUCAGAAGAAAACUGGCCAUCAGCUUCUGCCUCAAGCGGGUGCUGUGGCAAGGAAGACAGAGCAUGUGUGUUGUGAACACUCAUUAGAGGAUCAUCCCUGCUGUGCCAGGUGCCAUGGCGCUGGAUGCAGAAAGCAGGACACAUGGAAAGAUGGUGUGUUCACAAAGAAUUUGGAAGAAAGCCAGAUGGUGACAAGAGUGUGUCUCUGAAUGCCCCUUUUGGGGGUCACUAAAAAUGCCCCAGGGUUUUUAGUUAGACCAAAAAGGAGGCUUCAAAGAGAUGACUUCUGAGCCGGGUUGUGAUACAUCUAGGAUGUCAACAGGCAGAGAAAGGGCAGGGACUGGGAGUAAGGAAAGAACAUCUGUUCAAGGCAAAACACUGAUUACCAAAGUUUCUAUCAUCCUUAUGUUGACAACGGACAUAAUUUUAACCUUUUGUAUAAGCCAGACUGUAAAGGAUUAUUAGCAGAAUAAAAGCAUCUAUUGGGCCUGGU